CUUUAUGACAGAGUCAUGGGCGACAGUGAUUAAGAGCUUGAUCACCACAUCAGCCUACCUGUUCCCAGUCCUGGUUUCACCACUCACCCACAGGUCACCUUGGACCAGUGCCCCAUCUUUGGAAUCAGGAAAAUACUGUCAACCACUCUGGGUUGGUGUGGAGAAUUAAAGGUAUAUGAUCUCCUUAUCACAGAACCUGGCAUACAAAGGAGUAAGACAAUGGGAAGGCGUGUGCGUGCCUGCUUUCCUGACCGGCAUCAGUGUGCAGGAAAGCUGGGGAGGGGUCCAAGGCCCCCGUGAAGCUCGCCUCCCGCUGGAGACCAGGAGCAGCAGCUGCAGGUGAAAGUUGUGAGGGUACCGCCGCUUGAGCUUGGUCGCCUGAGAUCUAGAGGGCAGAAGCCAUCGGAAUGAGCCAAGGAAGAGGAGAACCUCCAGGGAGAGCUUCCAGAUCAUGUUCCAGAGCACCUCGCGGUGGUCCAUGGGUUAAGAAUGUGCCUGCCAAUGCAGGGCAUGUGGGUUCAAUCCCUGGUCCAGGAAGAUCCCACAUGCCACAGGGCAACUAAGCCUGUGCACCACAGCUGCUGAAGUGCGUGCCUCCUUGAGCCUGUGCAAUAAGAGAAGCCACUGCAAUGAGAAGCCUGCACACUGCGGCUAAGAGGGGCCCCCACUCACAGCAAUGAAUUCCCAGUGCAGUCAAUAAAU
ensembl:lncRNA